rnacentral:rRNA from 1 species
AACGAACGCUGGCGGCAGGCCUAACACAUGCAAGUCGAGCGAGGACUUCGGUCCUAGCGGCGGACGGGUGAGUAACGCGUGGGAACGUGCCCUUUGCUUCGGAAUAGCCCUGGGGAACUGGGAGUAAUACCGGAUGAGCCCUUUGGGGGAAAGAUUUAUCGGCGAAGGAUCGGCCCGCGUUGGAUUAGGUAGUUGGUGGGGUAAUGGCCUACCAAGCCGACGAUCCAUAGCUGGUUUGAGAGGAUGAUCAGCCACACUGGGACUGAGACACGGCCCAGACUCCUACGGGAGGCAGCAGUGGGGAAUCUUAGACAAUGGGGGAAACCCUGAUCUAGCCAUGCCGCGUGAGCGAUGAAGGCCUUAGGGUUGUAAAGCUCUUUCAGCUGGGAAGAUAAUGACGGUACCAGCAGAAGAAGCCCCGGCUAACUCCGU